CGAAUCGCCCUUACUCCUACGGGAGGCAGCAGUGGGGAAUUUUCCGCAAUGGGCGAAAGCCUGACGGAGCAAUACCGCGUGAGGGAGGAAGGCUCUUGGGUUGUAAACCUCUUUUCUCAGGGAAGAACAGAAUGACGGUACCUGAGGAAUAAGCAUCGGCUAACUCCGUGCCAGCAGCCGCGGUAAUACGGAGGAUGCAAGCGUUAUCCGGAAUGAUUGGGCGUAAAGAGUCCGUAGGUGGCAUUGAAAGUCUGCUGUUAAAGAGUCUAGCUCAACUAGAUAAAAGCAGUGGAAACUACAAAGCUAGAGUUUGGUCGGGGCAGAAGGAAUUCCUGGUGUAGCGGUGAAAUGCGUAGAUAUCAGGAAGAACACCGGUGGCGAAGGCGUUCUGCUAGGCCGAGACUGACACUGAGGGACGAAAGCUAGGGGAGCGAAUGGGAUUAGAUACCCCAGUAGUCCUAGCCGUAAACGAUGGAUACUAGGCGUAGCUCGUAUCGACCCGAGCUGUGCCGGAGCUAACGCGUUAAGUAUCCCGCCUGGGGAGUACGCAGGCAACUGUGAAACUCAAAGGAAUUGACGGGGGCCCGCACAAGCGGUGGAGUAUGUGGUUUAAUUCGAUGCAACGCGAAGAACCUUACCAAGGCUUGACAUGUCACGAAUCCUGUAGAAAUAUAGGAGUGCCUUAGGGAGCGUGAACACAGGUGGUGCAUGGCUGUCGUCAGCUCGUGUCGUGAGAUGUUGGGUUAAGUCCCGCAACGAGCGCAACCCUCGUUUUUAGUUGCCAGCAUUAAGAUGGGCACUCUAGAGAGACUGCCGGUGACAAACCGGAGGAAGGUGGGGAUGACGUCAAGUCAGCAUGCCCCUUACGUCUUGGGCUACACACGUACUACAAUGCUACGGACAAAGGGCAGCUACACAGCGAUGUGAUGCGAAUCUCAUAAACCGUAGCUCAGUUCAGAUCGAAGGCUGCAACUCGCCUUCGUGAAGGAGGAAUCGCUAGUAAUUGCAGGUCAGCAUACUGCAGUGAAUUCGUUCCCGGGCCUUGUACACACCGCCCGUCACACCAUGGAAGUUGGUCACGCCCGAAGUCGUUACCCCAACCUAUUGGAGGGGGAUGCCUAAGGUAGGACUGAUGACUGGGGUGAAGUCGUAACAAGGUAGCCGUACCGGAAGGUGUGGCUGGAUCACCUCCUUUUAGGGAGACCUAAUCCAUUUAGAAAUCGAAAGCAGUGAAAAUUGUGGGUAGAAACUGAAUUGGUCUAACCUAGGUCGGUCGCAGACUUGAAGUAAAGCUUUCAAACUAUGAUUUGGUUCGAUAAGGGCUAUUAGCUCAGGUGGUUAGAGCGCACCCCUGAUAAGGGUGAGGUCCCUGGUUCGAGUCCAGGAUGGCCCACCUGAAGGAAUUCAAAAAUCAAAAGUCAAAAGUCAAAAUUAAAUAUUUUUGAAGCAUGACUAGAAAUUUUGAGUUCUUUUUGGGGGUUUAGCUCAGUUGGUAGAGCGCCUGCUUUGCAAGCAGGAUGUCAGCGGUUCGAGUCCGCUAACCUCCACAUUGGAAAAAAGACAGCACCUAAUUGGAAAAGUUAGACUGCUGGAUGAAAUUCCAGCCAGAACCUUGAAAACUGCAUAAGAGAACGAGAAAAAGCAGGCAGACACAGACAUUUAAAUGGAUGUGAAAGCAAAGAAAAAUUGUGGUCAAGCUAAUAAGGGCUAAUGGUGGAUACCUWGGCACACAGAGGCGADG
rnacentral:sRNA from 1 species